UACAGAGGGGGCAAGCGUUGUUCGGAAUUACUGGGCGUAAAGGGCGCGUAGGCGGCCCGCUAAGUCGAACGUGAAAUCCCUGGGCUCAACCAGGAACUGCGUCCGAUACUGGCAGGCUUGAAUCCGGGAGAGGGAUGCGGAAUUCCAGGUGUAGCGGUGAAAUGCGUAGAUAUCUGGAGGAACACCGGUGGCGAAGGCGGCAUCCUGGACCGGCAUUGACGCUGAGGCGCGAAAGCCAGGGGAGCAAACGGG
rnacentral:rRNA from 1 species